CAACGCCGCGUGGGUGAUGGAGGCCUUCGGGUCGUAAAGCCCUGUCGGGAGGGAAGAAAUGAUUGAGGGUUAAUACCUCUUGAUCUUGACGGUACCUCCGAAGGAAGCACCGGCUAACUACGUGCCAGCAGCCGCGGUAAUACGUAGGUGGCGAGCGUUGUCCGGAAUUACUGGGCGUAAAGGGCGCGUAGGCGGCCUGUUAAGUCAUAUGUGAAACCCCCAGGCUCAACUUGGGGAUUGCAUCUGAAACUGAUGGGAUCGAGUGUCGGAGAGGAAAGCGGAAUUCCUAGUGUAGCGGUGAAAUGCGUAGAUAUUAGGAGGAACACCAGUGGCGAAGGCGGCUUUCUGGACGAUAACUGACGCUGAGGCGCGAAAGCGUGGGGAGCAAA
rnacentral:rRNA from 1 species